rnacentral:rRNA from 1 species
AGUGAACGCUGGCGGUAGGCCUAACACAUGCCAGUCGAACGGCAGCACAGUAAGAGCUUGCUCUUACGGGUGGCGAGUGGCGGACGGGUGAGGAAUACAUCGGAAUCUACUUUUUCGUGGGGGAUAACGUAGGGAAACUUACGCUAAUACCGCAUACGACCUACGGGUGAAAGCAGGGGAUCUUCGGACCUUGCGCGAUUGAAUGAGCCGAUGUCGGAUUAGCUAGUUGGCGGGGUAAAGGCCCACCAAGGCGACGAUCCGUAGCUGGUCUGAGAGGAUGAUCAGCCACACUGGAACUGAGACACGGUCCAGACUCCUACGGGAGGCAGCAGUGGGGAAUAUUGGACAAUGGGCGCAAGCCUGAUCCAGCCAUACCGCGUGGGUGAGGAAGGCCUUCGGGUUGUAAAGCCCUCUUGUUGGGAAAGAAAAGCAGCAGGUUAAUACCCCGCUGUUCUGACGGUACCCAAAGAAUAAGCACCGGCUAACUUCGUG